CGCACGCUGCAGACAGGCCCGGCUGCUGCGAGCCCGGAGUGCGCCCUCCGCCCGGAGUUGCAGUUCGUCGCUGCUCCCCGUGGGAUUUAAAUCUUCUUGCGUAGAGACAGAUUAUAUAUAUAUAUAUAUAUAUAUAUAUUUUUUUCCCCUUCCUCCUCUUUUUUUUCUUUUCUUUUUUUUCCUUUUUCUCCCGUGCAAAGUGAGGAAGGAACUGCACCAAGGCAGCCCUCGAGAUCUCGCAGUAUUGCUCCGAUUUAUCGCUGCUAUUAUUCAUUAAUUAAUUCCCUUUUUAAAAUCUCAACCCCGAGCGGACCGUUCUCAGAGAGAGAAACGUUUCGAUCCGUAUCAGUAAUUUUAUUUUUCGCCCUUUUUGCGAGAAAAAAAAAAGCGGGGAGAGGGUGCAGUGCGGCCCGGCGGGGCGGGGGGAGACGCCGGCAAAUCCAAAGCUCCGCCGGUCCCGGCGCAGAGCGGCCGCGGGGGGAGGCGGGACCCAGCGCCGCCCGCCAGGGGGGCGAGCCGCCCCACACAGGUGAUGGGCGUUUCGGCUGCGCUCCGGAUCGACUCCUUGGGUUUCACUUUGGUCUGAUCUAAGCAAAUAUGCAGAAGUACCGGCUGGUCUAGUCCUAAGAGCCAAGAGGAGCGAGCGAGAGCGGCAGAAAGGAGAGCGGCCGCGCUCCCGUUGGAGGGGAACGUACAAACAGCGGCAGCGCCGUAAUUCCAGCACCGCCACGCCGAGGCAGCCCCGAGCCACCCUGGAUGCGGAGGACCCCCGAAGCCACCCCGCUGCCUUUCCCCUGAGGGAUGGUACUGAAUUUCUGCGCGGCAGGAGCCGGCCUGCAGCUCCUCUCCAUCAGCGUUGCCUUUCCUCCGUAUCUAAAGUGCACUAGACCGCGAUGAGGACCUGGGCUUGCGUUUUGCUGAUAGGUUUUGGCUACCUGUCCUUUACCUCCUGCGAGGAGGCCGAGAUCCCGCAGGAGCUGAUCGAGCGGCUGGCGCACAGCGAGAUCCACAGCAUCCGCGACUUGCAGCGCCUCCUGGAGAUUGACUCCGUAGGAUAUGAUGAUGUUUCAGAGGCAAACUUGAGGUCUUAUAGUGUUCAUUCUGCUAAACAUGUGCAAGAGAACCGUCCUGUGCCCAUUCGCAGAAAAAGAAGCAUUGAGGAAGCCAUCCCGGCUGUCUGCAAAACACGGACGGUGAUAUAUGAGAUACCUCGGAGUCAGAUUGAUCCCACCUCGGCCAACUUCCUGAUAUGGCCGCCGUGUGUGGAGGUGAAGCGCUGCACUGGCUGCUGCAACACCAGCAGUGUGAAAUGCCAGCCCUCACGGAUACAUCACAGAAGUGUCAAGGUGGCAAAAGUGGAAUAUGUUAGAAAAAAGCCAAAAUUAAAAGAAGUUCUGGUGAGAUUAGAAGAGCAUAUGGAAUGCACCUGUACAUCAACAAAUACUAAUUCAGAUUAUAGAGAAGAAGAAACUGGAAGGCCUAGGGAAUCAGGUAAAAAACGGAAACGAAAAAAGUUAAAACCAACAUAAAACCUACUGGAACUAUUUGAUAUUCAGAUUAACAGGUAUUUAUUGGGAGUAGUAUGAUAGAAGCAAAGAUUUUCUAAAAUUCAACCCUUAAAAGUGCGCAUGUAAACUCAAUCAGAGCAGCAUUUAGAGCUCCUUGCCCCAGAUGUAAGGUGAAAAUAAGCUAGAAAAAAAACUUCUCUCUGGGACAUGGAUGUACAUGGUUUGUUACAUUCCUGAACCUACUAUGUAUGGUGCUUAUUGACUGUAUACUUUAUUUGUUCUCCUGUGUGGAAAAAAACAAAACAAAACAAAACUGGCUCAAAAGAACACUUAAUGAGAACAAAGAGACAAUGUACAUUUGUUUAAUGUGACAUCAAAGCAAGUAUUGUAGCACUCUGUGAAACAAUAGGAAGCUUCCCUGUCCAAAAAAGAAAAAAAAAAAAAAAGAAAAAAACAGAAAAGAAAAAAGACAGUUGAAUGAAUGAAUGGAGGAUACCAAAAGUACCCAAAAACAUGACAAAAAUCUGAGUGAAUAGUGGAUUUCUGUCAGAGCAGUCAACGGUGCUUUACGUCAAGAAAUGUGCCUGCGUUCUUGAUGAAGAUGGAUGGACACUGAUGGACUUCAGGCACAAAAAAAGCAGGAAUGUAUGAAAUGAUCAAAUGCCACGCAAACACUAUAGAACAAUACAUCCUUGCUUGGUGGUGUUUUAAAAGUCUAUACAAAAAAAGCAACAAACCUUCUGGGGAGCCUUAAGUGGAUUUUUUUUUUUUUUUUUUUUUUUUUUUUUUACACCAUAAAGUGAUUAUUAAGUUUUCUUUUUACUCUUUGCCUAGCUUUUUAUUAUCUCUUGGACUACAUUUGCCAAUAACACAUAUAAAAGACUGGUAUAACAGUAAGAACACGAAACAUUGCGGUAUUUCUCCUAGUGGGAUGCAAACUAAUGAGAUGUAUUAAAAUAAAAGUGGUAUACCUAUGCAUAAUUUUCUAGACGUUUCUUGGUUUAUGUUCCCCAACCUCCCCCGUAAUUUAAAGCAUUACGUAAAAAGAAAUAAAGAGGAAAGAAAAGAGAGACGUGCGUAAACAAAUCAUAGGAUAUCCAUGCAAAAAUCCUUUUUUUUCCUUUCAGACUUAUGCCAGUUGCCUACUAGUGAUAUUGUGUUAGCAAUUGUCAUUCUUAUCAGUAUACAGAUACUUUUAUUUCACAUGUUGGAGCUGUGUGAAAUGUACAAGUUCUUGUAUCUGCAUUGUACAAUGUCAUGGUGGCAUGGGAACUACCUUGCUGCAAAUAUUUGAACAAAACCUAAAAUUCUUUAUUUUUGGUAAAAUGUUAUGCUUUAUGUGUAUUCAACAGAAAUAUGUGUUUUUGUAAAGGUGAAGUUUGUAUUUUUAUCUAAAAAUUAACAGUUUUAUAUACCUGAGAAAGCCUGCUAUGUUUUCUUGAACCAAAAAAAAAAAAAAAAAAAAAAAAAAGAAAAAAAAAGAAAAAAAGAAGAAAAAAAAAAAAGCAUUUUGUGGUCAUAUUUUUGUAGUAGAAUAGCCCAAAUAACAUCAAAAUCUAUUUUAACUAUAGCAGGGCAGAUAAAAUAGUCUGGCAUGAGCCCCUGUAUUUUCAAAGUGCCAAAGGAUGAUGUGUUGAGCUCCCCCUGGAUUGCAGUGGGAGCCACAUGGCUAAAUCCUGCUUUACUGCUUUGGAAAUUCAGGGCUGUGCCAGAUAUGACAUGGCUACUCGCUGGGCCAAAAUCACUGCCCCACCCCAGUAGUUUGGAUUAUGCAUCCUUUGUUUUGUUUGGGUUAUCUCAUUGGAUAUGUAAAAUGAACUACUGGAUUCUUUGUGGAACAUCGGCAAAGAGAUGAAAGAGUUUUCUCCUCUUAGUUUGGAAUGGGAAAGAGUUCAUCUUGAGACAGCGUUUCCACUCAAAUACAAAAUACCUUCAAGUGUGAGUGAGCUGCAGAACCUUAAAACAGCAAAAGAGAGAGUUUUAACCUUUCCAUUUCUUUAAGUAUAGCUCAGCCAUCCCCUGUCCCUCUAGCUAUGUCCAGUUUCAACCAAACAAAGCAAUGUUAGCUAACAGGCAUUAUUGGUUUCAGAUGCUAAUGCAGAGAUAGUUCGUCACCAUUCUAUUUUGUGGUCAUUUUCCCGGUGUAUUUGUUGAGCACCAAAACUGGAAAUACAUUUAACUAAGAUUGUCUGUGCUUGUUUUCCACUAAGUGUACUGUUCACAAUGUUAUGCACAUGAAUGUAUGUGUCUGCGUUUAAAGAAGUGUAUAAAAUGUAAUUUAUAUAUUUAUGUUUCAGUGGGAUGCCAAUAAUGUUGCUCCGUUCCUUUUUUUUUUUUUUUUUUUUUUUUUUUU